rnacentral:rRNA from 1 species
GGAAUAUUGGUCAAUGGACGAAAGUCUGAACCAGCCAUGCCGCGUGAAGGAUGACGGCCCUCUGGGUUGUAAACUUCUUUUAUAUGGGACGAAAAAAGGGAAUUCUUUCUCGCUUGACGGUACCAUAGGAAUAAGCACCGGCUAACUCCGUGCCAGCAGCCGCGGUAAUACGGAGGGUGCAAGCGUUAUCCGGAUUCACUGGGUUUAAAGGGUGCGUAGGUGGGUAGGUAAGUCAGUGGUGAAAUCUCCGAGCUUAACUCGGAAACUGCCAUUGAUACUAUUUAUCUUGAAUUUUUUGGAGGUGAGCGGAAUAUGUCAUGUAGCGGUGAAAUGCUUAGAUAUGACAUAGAACACCAAUUGCGAAGGCAGCUCACUACGAAAUUAUUGACACUGAGGCACGAAAGCGUGGGGAUCAAACAGGAUUAGAUACCCUGGUAGUCCACGCCCUAAACGAUGGAUACUCGACAUCAGCGAUACACUGUUGGUGUCUGAGCGAAAGCAUUAAGUAUCCCACCUGGGAAGUACGACCGCAAGGUUGAAACUCAAAGGAAUUGACGG